rnacentral:rRNA from 1 species
ACGCUCGACACCUACGGGUGGCAGCAGUGGGGAAUAUUGCACAAUGGGGGAAACCCUGAUGCAGCGACGCCGCGUGAGUGAAGAAGUAUUUCGGUAUGUAAAGCUCUAUCAGCAGGGAAGAAGAUGACGGUACCUGAGUAAGAAGCCCCGGCUAACUACGUGCCAGCAGCCGCGGUAAUCUGAGCGGGCUGGCAAGGC